GACGAACGCUGGCGGCGUGCUUAAUACAUGCAAGUAGAACGCAGUUUCGAACGGGUGAGUAAAGUGUAGGUAACUGCCCCAUAGCGGGGGAUAACUAUUGGAAACGAUAGCUAAUACCGCAUACUGUGAGAUAGACCUGCGUUGGAUUUGCUAGUUGGUGAGGCAAAGGCGCACCAAGGCGCCGAUACAUAGCCGACCUGUGAGGGUGUGUGGCCACACUUGGACUGGUGCACGGCCCAGGCACCUACGGGAGGCAGCAGUAAGGAAUCUUCGGCAAUGGACGGAAGUCUGACCGGGCAACGCCGCGGGAGGGAAGAAGGUUUUCGGAUCGUAAAGCUCUGUUGGUAGAGAAACGGUAUCUAACCAGAAAGGGACGGCUAACUACGUGCCAGCAGCCGCGGUAAUAC
rnacentral:rRNA from 1 species